GCAUCGAUAGCUCAGUGGCAGAGCAGUGGGUAGGUACGCGACCGGUCCCGGGCUCGAUUUCCGGUCGAAGCU